rnacentral:rRNA from 1 species
AAACUGCGAACGGCUCAUUAUAUAAGUUAUCGUUUAUUUGAUAGUGCCUCCUACUUGGAUAACCGUGGUAAUUCUAGAGCUAAUACAUGCUAAAAAUCCCGACGGAAGGGAUGUAUUUAUUAGAUUAAAAGCCAAUGCCCUUCGGGGCUCUAUGGUGAUUCAUAAUAACUUCACGGAUCGCACGGCCUUGCGCCGGCGAUGGUUCAUUCAAAUUUCUUCCCUAUCAACUUUCGAUGUUUGGGUAUUGGCCAAACAUGGUGGCAACGGGUAACGGAAGGUUAGGGCUCGACCCCGGAGAAGGAGCCUGAGAAACGGCUACUACAUCCAAGGAAGGCAGCAGGCGCGCAAAUUACCCAAUCCCGACUCGGGGAGGUAGUGACAAUAAAUACUGAUACAGGGCUCUUUUGGGUCCUGUAAUUGGAAUGAGUACAAUUUAAAUCCCUUAACGAGGAACAAUUGGAGGGCAAGUCUGGUCCAGCAGCCGCGGUAAUUCCAGCUCCAAUAGCGUAUAUUAAAGUUGUUGUGGUUAAAAAGCUCGUAGUUGAACCUUGGGCCUGGGUGGCCGGUCCGCCUCACCGCGUGUACUGGUGCGGCCGGGCCUUCCCUCUGUGGAACUCCAUGCCCUUCACUGCGGGUGGGGGGGACAGGAC